AGGAUGAACGCUGGCGGCGUGCCUAAUACAUGCAAGUCGAGCGGUAAGGCCCCUUCGGGGGUACACGAGCGGCGGACGGCUGAGUAACACGUAGGAACGUACCCCAAACUGAGGGAUAAGCACCAGAAAUGGUGUCUAAUACCACAUGUGGCCUUCGGGCUAAAGCUCCGGCGGUUUGGGAACGGCCUGCGCAUGAUUAGCUUGUUGGUGAGGUAAUAGCUCACCAAGGCAUGAUCAUUAGCUGGUCUGAGAGGAUGACCAGCCAGACUGGGACUGAGAACGGCCCAGACUCCUACGGGAGGCAGCAGUAGGGAAUUUCCACAAUGGACGAAAGUCUGAUGGAGCAACGCGCGUGCAGGAUGAAUGCCUUCGGGUUGUAAACUGCUUUUAUAUGUGAAGAUUAUGACGUAGACAUAUAGAAUAAGGAUCGGCUAACUCCGCGCCAGCAGCCGC
rnacentral:rRNA from 1 species